rfam:Tupaia chinensis contig171535, whole genome shotgun sequence.
GUGACAUUUCCCACAUGCAGCACAUACACUAAAACUGGAAUGAUAGAGAAAAUUAGCAUGGCCCUUGUGCAAGGAUGAUAGUCCUAGGGAGCAAUUCAGAGAAUUUAU